rnacentral:rRNA from 1 species
ACGGAAGGCAGCAGUGGGGAAUAUUGCACAAUGGGCGAAAGCCUGAUGCAGCGACGCCGCGUGAGUGAAGAAGUAUCUCGGUAUGUAAAGCUCUAUCAGCAGGGAAGAAAAUGACGGUACCUGACUAAGAAGCCCCGGCUAACUACGUGCCAGCAGCCGCGGUAAUACGUAGGGGGCAAGCGUUAUCCGGAUUUACUGGGUGUAAAGGGAGCGUAGACGGUUUGGCAAGUCUGAAGUGAAAUGCGGGGGCUCAACUCCUGAUCUGCUUUGGAAACUGUCGAACUAGAGUGCAGGAGAGGUAAGUGGAAUUCCUAGUGUAGCGGUGAAAUGCGUAGAUAUUAGGAGGAACACCAGUGGCGAAGGCGGCUUACUGGACUGUAACUGACGUUGAGGCUCGAAAGCGUGGGGAGCAAACAGGAUUAGAUACCCUGGUA